rnacentral:misc_RNA from 1 species
AAGUCGUAACAAGGUCUCCGUUGGUGAACCAGCGGAGGGAUCAUUAAAGAGUUGUAAAACUCCAACCAUUGUUAACCUUACUGUCAUUCGUUUCCUCGGCGGGCGGCUUCGCCCUAACCGCGACCCCUUUGCGGGGGGAGCGACCCGCCGGGGGCACUGAACUCUUAUUAUUAUGGCUUCUGUGAGUAUACUUUUAAAUAAGUUAAAACUUUCAACAACGGAUCUCUUGGUUCUG